AUGAUUCCAAAGCUUCAUGGAGCAAAUGAGCAACUGAAAGAAAACAAGAACAUACUCAGGUGCAUGGUAUCCAAAUGUUCCCAGAACCCUAGUUGA
rnacentral:rRNA from 1 species